AUUGAACGCUGGCGGCAGGCUUAACACAUGCAAGUCGAGCGGUAACAGAGAGUAGCUUGCUACUUUGCUGACGAGCGGCGGACGGGUGAGUAACGCGUAGAAAUCUGNCUGAUAGUGGGGGAUAGCCCAGAGAAAUUUGGAUUAAUACCGCAUACGCCCUACGGGGGAAAGAAGGGGACCUUCGGGCCUUUUGCUAUCAGAUGAGUCUGCGUCGGAUUAGCUAGUUGGUGAGGUAAUGGCUCACCAANGCGANGAUCCGUANCUGGUCUGAGAGGAUGAUCAG
rnacentral:rRNA from 1 species